UACGGAGGGGGCGAGCGUUAUUCGGAAUUAUUGGGCGUAAAGGGCGCGUAGGCGGCUGUACAAGUCAAAGGUGAAAUCCCUCGGCUCAACUGAGGAACUGCCUUUGAAACUGUACGGCUUGAGGCCGGGAGGGGGUAGCGGAAUUCCCAGUGUAGCGGUGAAAUGCGUAGAUAUCAGGAGGAACACCUGUGGUGUAGACAGCUUACUGGACCACUUCUGACGCUGAGACACGAAAGCGUGGGUAGCAAACAGG
rnacentral:rRNA from 1 species